UCUCGAAUUUGCCUCAACCUUAUCAUCUCUUCUAGAUCUGGAAGCUAGGUUUUCUCUUUGCCUUUUUAUUAACCUUUUAGUUUUACUAAUAACACUAAUUUUUGUUCCCCAUUAGGU
rnacentral:miRNA from 1 species